AUCUGUUCUUAUCAGUUUAAUAUCCAAUAUAUCUUCGAUCCGAGGACUCUAUAUUAAACAGAAUUUUGGAACAGGGAUAUGACCCUGGAGCUUGCUCUAGUCGCUCCAUGCUUUGACUUGUUAUUAAAGUGUUUCCAGGAAUAGUGU
rnacentral:snRNA from 1 species